AUCAGCUCUGGUGUGCUUACCUUUUUCACCAACGUGUCUUCUACCCUACUUACCUCAUAAGUGAAUCUAAUACAGAGGUUAUUUUGGAUAUAAUCAUUAUCUUAACAGGCAAGAUAGUGGGCUGUGCUAUUUCAAACCCUAAAUUUGGCUUUCAGGAUUAUGAAGUAUUAAUUCUUCCACUGAUAUCUCAAAAGGUGAUCUGGACAAAGGAACAGGUAUCUCAGAUCUUGGGACACCCAGCACGUGACAAAAACAACAGCAGACCCUGGUGCCUGGGAGGACUUCAUGGAUCCAGCAGCAACCUGGAGUGGUGCUCCUCUGAAGAAAUCCUACUCGGAUGGAUAUAAUACAACCUGCUAAGUGUCCUAGCACUUAGCAGGUUGUAUUAUCAUUGUCCGUGUCUAUGGCUCUCGUCUACCAGACUUUAAAUUCCUUAAGGGCAAGGACAGUGCCUUACUCAUCUUUGUAUUCACAGUGCCUAAUCCGGUGCACAUUGUAGGCCUCAUUAAAUGUUUGUUGAAUGAAAAAAUGAAUCAUCAACAGACAUUAAUUGGGCGCCUGCUCUGUGAUCUCCAUGGGCUCAGCUUGUCCCCGCCAGUUGCCAACAACGUCCAAGCUCUCUUCAGAAUGCUUACUCCUGAAGCUUAUUCCUGUCUUCUAAUUCUUUUGUUGAGGACUUUUCUGUGUAGUGCAAUGAUAGCAAAUACACUUCAUCUCAAGUACCAUCUCCAAUUGAUUGAUAAUGCCUGCCCUGAUUAUGUUUUAUAACAAGAUUCUGAAACCAGGUCUUAUCUCAGUGUGAAAGACAUUUAUAACUAUUUAGUGAUGUCUGCUGAGGGUCGGAGAAGGGGGAGUAGCAGCACAAGUGCCUCAUAUGUCAUAUUUGCUACUCUGUUUUCUAUGAAAUACUUCAUUUCUAUGCCUGCAUUUUGGUCUUAGCUACUUGCUGAUGUUGCAUGGCUGUUGCUGCUACUGUAAUUGCUGCUAAUUGCUCCCUGGGUUGGACCAGAGUGCUCAUUGUCUGAACAGAAACCUCAUCCUCACAGUCUGAGGUUUGCUCCUGUGGCUGAUAUUUAAAGUUUUCCCCUUUCAACUUUACUCCAGCUAUCCCCUUACCUGCACUGACAGGUAAUCCUCCACCGUCCUGUUCACCUCUCACCAGGUUCAUAUUUUCUUUAUCUUAUUUAUUGUACUUAAUCAUUAUUUUGUGAGAAGCUUUUCUGAUUGUAGAUGUGACAACCAGAAUACAAGUUAAAACCACU
rnacentral:lncRNA from 1 species